GAAGCAGUCCUAAGUUUUCAAUAACUGCUGAAGUGAGCGCGGGAUGUUUUCAGCAUUCUUAUAAAUAUCCAGGAGGCAGUCUAUCAAUGUAAAUCUUUGAAGAUUAUAUUGGGGACAGUCAAAGAAAAUGUGAUCAAGAGUUUGGAUGGAUAAAUUACAGAAUUGAUAAGUUGGAGAAUCUAAAACACCGAUCCUAAAUAAAUGAGCACCACUACGAGAAUGUCCCAGACGUAACCGACAAAUUUUCUGUGGACAUUUAAGGAUAGAAAAAUGGAUGAUAAUUGUUCUAAAUCAACAUUCACAAUCACAUGCUCCUACAACAUCCAAAAAAACACCAGCCAAUAUCUUAUCGUCAAUCUGGGCACUAUGGAUGUCAAGACAUAAAUGCCGUAUACUCUCACAAGCAGAACGACCACAUCGAAAUCCAAAUUGAUUAUUAGAUUACUGUGUGGAGGAAUGUUGGCUGGAAUUGAAGAAGAUUCAGUUUCCGACACUACCAUGGAAAAUUUUGUGAUUGUAGGCAAGUGAUAGCUGCCCAAAGAGUCCUGAUGAACUUGCCAUUCACAGCACAGGAAUAAUGAAGAUACUAUUGUUAGAUCUAGUCCAUUUGGUCUCCAAGAAUUAGUACCCACUGUAGUUGGUUGAUCAUUAUUUAAGAGCAUUAAGUCAUUAUCAUCCCUUACAUCCAUGAUGUCUCUACCUCUAGAAUUGGUUCUAUUACAACCCCAAAUGGUAUAGUGAGCAUUAAAAUCAACAGCAAUUAUUAGUGGUUUUGGAAUACUAUGCAACAGUCUAUUAAAUUUAGAUUUGUCAAAGUUAGGUACACUGUUGCCAGGACUAUAAAAGCUAACAAUUGAGACGUCUUCUAUUCUAUUCUUCCUACUGUGGCUUCUGUGGAAGAUAUACCACAGAUUUGCCAGAAUCAUGUUAGAUUAGACUACCAAGCUUUGAGUAUGUGUCUUCUAAGUUUAACGGUUAUAAUCGGUGUUCAGAUUACAUAAAGUUUAAUUUUCUAAUAAUAUCUGAAACAAAUAAUAUACAUGCUUGUAAGACUAUAAACGACAUACACAUAUAGAAAUACUUAAAUAAUUAAUUAAUAUAAGUACUAAAUAAUAUUUACAACUUAAUCUUAUUUAUUUUAAUAUAUUUACACAAAAUAUUUACAAAAGGAGUGUAAACUAGGGAGAGGAGACAUUUAACGGAGGUUGGACGGGGGACUUCAGCGGGUAUAUAAUUGUGCAGAGAAGAUCAUGUGGCGUCGUACAUUAUAGCCUCCUAUCAAUAUCUACCAAGAAACACAAAAAACUAUCCCAGCGGUGGAACUCGGGGUAUAUAGUAUAUUCAUAGCUGGCAACAUAUUUUUUAAUGGCGUCUGUUAUGUUUACAAAAUAUUUUGCUGUUAUGACGAAUGUAUUAGCUUAAAUUAAAAGUUGUGAAAUAGUAUUUAGAUGUGAAA